CCUGCCCUAGAAGUGUGCAGGUGUGGCUGUUGUGUCACAUGUGCAUCAGUAGGUGGCAGAGCGAGGAGAGAGGCUAUGUCUGUGCUCAUUGUUCUGACCUGCGAACAUCUGAAUUAGUAGCCUAACAUU